rnacentral:rRNA from 1 species
AAAUUGAAGAGUUUGAUCAUGGCUCAGAUUGAACGCUGGCGGCAGGCCUAACACAUGCAAGUCGAGCGGAAACGAGUUAACUGAACCUUCGGGGGACGAUAACGGCGUCGAGCGGCGGACGGGUGAGUAAUGCCUAGGAAAUUGCCCUGAUGUGGGGGAUAACCAUUGGAAACGAUGGCUAAUACCGCAU